GACGAACGCUGGCGGCGUGCUUAACACAUGCAAGUCGAACGGAGUGGCGAACGGGUGAGUAACACGUGGGUGACCUGCCCUGCACUUCGGGAUAAGCCUGGGCAACUGGGUCUAAUACCGGAUAGUGUGGGAUGGGCCCGCGGCCUAUCAGCUUGUUGGUGGGGUAAUGGCCUACCAAGGCGGCGACGGGUAGCCGGCCUGAGAGGGUGGACGGCCACAAGGGGACUGAGACACGGCGCAGACGGCAACGUGAGGCAGCAGGGGGGAAUAUUGCACAAUGAGCGGGAGUCUGAUGCAGCGACGCCGCGUGGGUGAUGACGGCCUUCGGGUGGUAAACUCCUUUCACCAUCGACGCGGUAGAUGGAGAAGAAGCACCGGCUAACUACGUGCCAGCAGCCGCGGUAAUUC
rnacentral:rRNA from 1 species